AUUGAACGCUGGCGGCAGGCUUAACACAUGCAAGUCGAGCGAGCGGCGGACGGGUGAGUAAUGUCUGGGAAACUGCCUGAUGGAGGGGGAUAACUACUGGAAACGGUAGCUAAUACCGCAUACCAUCAGAUGUGCCCAGAUGGGAUUAGCUAGUAGGUGGGGUAAUGGCGCACUGAGGCGACGAUCCCUAGCUGGUCUGAGAGGAUGAACAGCCACACGGGAACUGGGACACGGUGCAGACUCCUGCGGGAGGCAGCAGUGGGGAAUAUUGGGCAAGGGGCGCAGGCCUGAUGGAGCCAUGCCGCGUGUGUGAAGAAGGCCUUCGGGUUGUAAAGCACUUUCAGCGAGGAGGCGUUACUCGCAGAAGAAGCACCGGCUAACUCCGUGCCAGCAGCCGCGGUAAUUC
rnacentral:rRNA from 1 species